UGCAGAAUCCCGUGAACCAUCGAGUCUUUGAACGCAAGUUGCGCCCGAGGCCUUUCGGUUGAGGGCACGCCUGCCUGGGCGUCACGC
rnacentral:rRNA from 1 species